GCAUUUUCUUUCUACACAGUUUCUUCUUUGCUUCAAACUCAAUUCAAGCUUUUUCUUCCAUUAUAAAUAUAGCAGUUGUACAUAGGUUCUUCUCCUCAAAUUCAAUUCUACUUUCAAACUUCCUCUCUUGUUAAAAGUAUUUUCUUCAAAUUCAAUCGUUUCGAUAUAUCAGUCCAAUUUCUUUCUUAUUUCAUACUAUCAUUUUUUCUCUUUCUCCAUUCCAUGGAAUUCUCUCCUUGGGUAACUUUUAGGGCUACACUGUGUCGUUAGAUGGUACUGGAGAUUUUGUCCGAAUUAGAGAUGCUAUAGCUGCGGCACCCAACGUCAAUACGAGUAGAUUUUACAUUCAUAUCAAAUCUGGGAUCUACAGAGAACAUGUCGAAGUUCCGGCGCAAAAAAACAUCUGUAUUGUUGAUUGGAGUCGAUGCUUCUACCACUAUUGUUGUCGAUAAUCGAAGCAAUGACGCCCCGGUUUUUUUGACUACCUCCACUGCAACAUUCAGCCCAAGAGCUAGCCAGCUGACACUUCUCAAUAAAUGAAAUGACACGGUUACCACGUGUUGCACAGUGAAGAUGAAGCCUCAAGAUUUGUAAUUUUAAUCAGACUGUUAAUGGAAGAAGAUAGCUAGCUAAGAGCUCACUUAACGUUGCAGACGAGGUAGUCGAAAAACCGGCGUGAUUGCUUCGAUUAUCAACAAUGUCUCCAAUCAACUAUACAAAUGUUUUUUGUGCCGGAAGUUCAACAUGUUCUCUAUAGAUCCCGAUUUGAUAAAAUCUACUCACAUUGAAGUUGGGUGCUGCAGCUAUAGUAUCACUAAUUCGGAUGAAAUCUUGAAUACCAUCCAGCGACACAAUAGUCCCAAAAGUUAAAAGACACCGAGAGAACUCCUCACGAUAUGGAGAGAGAUAAAAACUAACGGUAUGAAAUAAGAAAGAAAUUGGACUGACAUAUGGAAAUGAUUGAAUUUGAAGAAGAAAGGAAGUUUGAAACUAGAAUUGAAUUUGAGGAGAAGAACCUUACGUAGAACUGCUAUAUAUUCACAAUGGGAGAAAAUCUUGUAAGAAGUGAAUUUACUAAUAAAUGGAAAUGGAAUAUAAUUGUACUAA